rnacentral:rRNA from 1 species
UCCNGGCCCUACGGGGCGCAGCAGGCGCGAAACCUCCGCAAUGCACGCAAGUGCGACGGGGGAACCCCAAGUGCCACUCUUAACGGGGUGGCUUUUCAGAAGUGUAAAAAGCUUCUGGAAUAAGGGCUGGGCAAGACCGGUGCCAGCCGCCGCGGUAACACCGGCAGCUCAAGUGGUAGCCGCUUUUAUUGGGCCUAAAGCGUCCGUAGCCGGUCUGAUAAGUCUCUGGUGAAAUCCCGCAGCUUAACUGUGGGAAUUGCUGGAGAUACUAUCAUGACUCGAGGUCGGGAGAGGCUGGAGGUACUCCCAGGGUAGGGGUGAAAUCCUGUAAUCCUGGGAGGACCACCUGUGGCGAAGGCGUCCAGCUGGAACGAACCUGACGGUGAGGGACGAAAGCCAGGGGCGCGAACCGGAUUAGAUACCCGGGUAGUCCUGGCCGUAAACGAUGUGGACUUGGUGU